CCCGCUGAACUUAAGCAUAUCAAUAAGCGGAGGAAAAGAAACCAACAGGGAUUGCCCUAGUAACGGCGAGUGAAGCGGCAACAGCUCAAAUUUGAAAUCUGGCCCUAGGCCCGAAUUGUAAUUUGUAGAGGAUGCUUCUGGUGACGUGCCUUCUGAGUUCCCUGGAACGGGACGCCAGAGAGGGUGAGAGCCCCGUAUAGUCGUGCACUGAGCCUCUGUGUAGCACCUUCGACGAGUCGAGUAGUUUGGGAAUGCUGCUCAAAAUGGGAGGUAAACUUCUUCUAAAGCUAAAUACCGGCCAGAGACCGAUAGCGCACAAGUAGAGUGAUCGAAAGAUGAAAAGCACUUUGAAAAGAGGGUUAAACAGUACGUGAAACAAUUGAAAAGGAAGCACUUGUGACCAGACUUGUGCCGUGCGAAUCAUCCAGCGUUCUCGCUGGUGCACUUUGUACGGUUCAGGCCAGCAUCGGUUUUCCUAGGGGGACAAAAGCUCUGGGAACGUAGCUCUUUCGGGAGUGUUAUAGCCCUCUGCACAAUGCCCUUGGGGGGACCGAGGUUCGCGCUCUGCAAGGAUGCUGGCGUAAUGGUCAUCAGUGGCCCGUCUUGAAACACGG
rnacentral:rRNA from 1 species